rnacentral:rRNA from 1 species
AUGGCGACUCUCUCCGCCCCCUUGCUCCGUUCCCACCACCGUCACCUCCCCAUCCGCUCCUCGCCGCGCCGCUGCCCGACCGCCGCCGCCUUCCCGCGCGGGUUCGCUCCCCUCGAACCCCUCUCUUCCCGCGCGCCCUCACGCACCGUCGUCCGCUCCGCCUCAACCUCGGCAGCGGCACCGGAGGCCGCCGAGGCAUCGGGAGGCGCGGCCCCGAGCGAGACGGCCGCGGAGGUGGAGGUGGAGGCGCGCGUCGUGCUCCCCACCAACGAGUCCUCCGAGAACCUGCUGCGCAUCCGCCACACCUGUGCCCAUGUCAUGGCGAUGGCCGUCCAGAAGCUGUUCCCCAACUCCAAAGUUACCAUAGGCCCCUGGAUAGACAAUGGCUUCUACUACGACUUCGACAUGGAGCCCCUCACGGAUAAGGACCUCAAGAAGAUCAAGAAGGAGAUGGACCGAAUCAUUCGACGGAACCUCCCAUUGGUGAGGGAGGAGGUGUCCAGGGAAGAGGCUCAAAAGAGGAUCCAAGCGCUUAACGAGCCAUAUAAGCUGGAGAUUUUGGAGAGAAUUAAGGAAGAACCCAUCACAAUUUAUCACAUUGGAGAAGAGUGGUGGGAUCUGUGUGCUGGCCCUCAUGUUGAGUCUACUGGCAAGAUACAGAGAAAAGCUGUUGAACUCGAGUCUGUUGCUGGUGCUUACUGGAGAGGUGACGAGAAUAAUCAAAUGCUACAAAGGAUAUAUGGGACUGCAUGGGAGAGUGAAGAUCAAUUGAAGGCUUACAUCCACUUCAAGGAGGAGGCCAAGCGCAGAGACCAUCGGCGACUAGGUCAGGACCUUGAUCUGUUCUCUAUACAGGAAGACGCUGGUGGGGGUUUAGUAUUCUGGCAUCCAAAAGGUGCUAUCAUCAGACACAUUUUAGAAGAUUCGUGGAAACAAACUCACCUGCAACGUGGUUAUGAUCUAUUGUACACUCCACAUGUUGCGAAGGCUGAUCUCUGGAAGAUUAGUGGACAUAUAGAUUUCUACAAAGAGAAUAUGUACAACCAAAUGGAUAAGAGAAAGCUACAAUCAUACAGGGAUUUACCCAUCAGAGUGGCAGAGCUUGGAACUGUCUACAGAUAUGAGCUCUCUGGUGCUCUGCAUGGGCUGUUCCGUGUAAGAGGGUUCACACAGGAUGAUGCCCACAUAUUUUGUCUCGAAGACCAGAUAAAAGAUGAAAUUAGAGGAGUUCUUGAUUUAACUGAAGAAAUACUGGGGCAGUUUGGCUUCCGGAAUUAUGAGGUAAACCUUUCAACCAGGCCAGAAAAAUCUGUUGGCAGUGACGACAUAUGGGAAAAGGCAACAAUUGCUCUGAAAGACGCACUAGAUGAUAAAGGAUGGGGAUACACGGUUGAUGAAGGGGGAGGUGCUUUCUAUGGUCCAAAAAUUGAUUUGAAAAUUGAGGACGCUCUUGGAAGAAAAUGGCAAUGUUCCACUGUGCAGGUUGACUUCAAUUUGCCUGAACGGUUUGACAUCACUUAUGUUGACUCGCAUACUGAGAAGAAACGGCCUAUCAUGAUUCAUAGAGCCAUCCUUGGGUCUUUGGAGCGCUUUUUUGGCAUCCUCAUUGAAAACUACGCUGGUGAUUUUCCACUUUGGCUUGCUCCAACCCAAGCCCGUAUUCUACCUGUCACAAACAAUGAGCUGCAGUACUGCAAUGAGGUGGCUUCAGAACUGAAAUCAAGAGGUAUCCGCGCCGAGGUAUGCCACGGCAAGCGUCUGCCGAAGUUAAUCAGAAACGCCGAAACACAAAAGGUGCCGCUCAUGGCGGUCGUUGGCCCCAAGGAAGUCGAAGCUAGGACUCUCACCAUCAGGUCCAGGCAUAACGGGGAGAUGGGCACCAUGCUCGUCGACGAUUUCAUCAGCAAAAUCCAAUCGGCCGUUGCUGACAAAUCUUCGCUGUAG